GACGAACGCUGGCGGCGUGCUUAACACAUGCAAGUCGAACGGAAAGGCCCUGCUUUUGUGGGGUGCUCGAGUGGCGAACGGGUGAGUAACACGUGAGUAACCUGCCCUUGACUUUGGGAUAACUUCAGGAAACUGGGGCUAAUACCGGAUAGGAGCUCCUGCUGCAUGGUGGGGGUUGGAAAGUUUCGGCGGUUGGGGAUGGACUCGCGGCUUAUCAGCUUGUUGGUGGGGUAGUGGCUUACCAAGGCUUUGACGGGUAGCCGGCCUGAGAGGGUGACCGGCCGCAGUGGGGAUUAGCGACCGUCGAGGGGACUCCGGGUGGGAGGGGGGGGGGAGAUGGCCAAAUGGCCGGGGGGCGGAAGCCGGUGCCACGGGUGCGGAAGGGCGGGCUUCGGGAUGGAGAACGGCUGCGGGGGGGACGAAGGGGGGGGGGUUGGAAUGGGGAAAGAACAGCCCCCAAACGACG
rnacentral:rRNA from 1 species